rnacentral:tRNA from 1 species
GGCCCUAUCGUCUAGCCUGGUCUAGGACAGCGGCUUUUCAAGCCGUUAACCCGGGUUCGAAUCACGGUGGGGUCA